rnacentral:tRNA from 1 species
ACUAGCUUAGCUCAGUUGGUUAGAGCACUACUCUGAUAAGGUAGGGGUGAUGCGUUCAAGUCGCAUAGCUAGUA